UCAUAAUCAGUGAAAACGAGUAGGGCGGGACACGUGAUAUCCUGUCUGAAUAUGGGGGGACCAUCCUCCAAGGCUAAAUACUACUGACUGACCGAUAGUGAACCAGUACCGUGAGGGAAAGGCGAAAAGAACCCCUGUGAGGGGAGUGAAAUAGAACCUGAAACCGUGUACGUACAAGCAGUAGGAGCACCUUCGUGGUGUGACUGCGUACCUUUUGUAUAAUGGGUCAGCGACUUAAUUUUAGUAGCAAGGUUAACCGUUUAGGGGAGCCGUAGGGAAACCGAGUCUUAACUGGGCGUACAGUUGCUAGGAUUAGACCCGAAACCAGGUGAUCUAGCCAUGGGCAGGUUGAAGGUUGAGUAACAUCAACUGGAGGACCGAACCGACUAAUGUUGAAAAAUUAGCGGAUGACUUGUGGCUAGGGGUGAAAGGCCAAUCAAACCUGGAGAUAGCUGGUUCUCCCCGAAAGCUAUUUAGGUAGCGCCUCGGACGAAUACUACUGGGGGUAGAGCACUGUUAAGGCUAGGGGGUCAUCCCGACUUACCAACCCUUUGCAAACUCCGAAUACCAGUAAGUACUAUCCGGGAGACACACGGCGGGUGCUAACGUCCGUCGUGGAGAGGGAAACAACCCAGACCGCCAGCUAAGGUCCCAAAGUAUAGCUAAGUGGGAAACGAUGUGGGAAGGCUCAGACAGCCAGGAUGUUGGCUUAGAAGCAGCCAUCAUUUAAAGAAAGCGUAAUAGCUCACUGGUCGAGUCGGCCUGCGCGGAAGAUGUAACGGGGCUAAGCUAUACACCGAAGCUGCGGCUACGUACCUUAGGGUAUGUGGGGUAGGGGAGCGUUCUGUAAGCCGUUGAAGGUGGUCUGUAAGGGCUGCUGGAGGUAUCAGAAGUGCGAAUGCUGACAUGAGUAACGAUAAAGGGAGUGAAAAACUCCCUCGCCGGAAGACCAAGGGUUCCUGUCCAACGUUAAUCGGGGCAGGGUAAGUCGACUCCUAAGGCGAGGCCGAAAGGCGUAGUCGAUGGGAAACGGGUUAAUAUUCCCGUACUUCUUACAAUUGCGAUGGGGGGACGGAGAAGGCUAGGUGGGCCUGGCGACGGUUGUCCAGGUUCAAGUACGUAGGCGGGUGGUUUAGGUAAAUCCGGACCGCUACUAACGCUGAGAUACGAUGUCGAGCUACUACGGUAGUGAAGUCAUUGAUGCCAUGCUUCCAGGAAAAGCCUCUAAGCUUCAGAUUGUAAGGAAUCGUACCCCAAACCGACACAGGUGGUCGGGUAGAGAAUACCAAGGCGCUUGAGAGAACUCGGGUGAAGGAACUAGGCAAAAUGGUACCGUAACUUCGGGAGAAGGUACGCUCUUAUCAGUGAAGUCCCUUGCGGAUGGAGCAGACGAGAGUCGCAGAUACCAGGUGGCUGCAACUGUUUAUUAAAAACACAGCACUGUGCAAAAUCGUAAGAUGACGUAUACGGUGUGACGCCUGCCCGGUGCCGGAAGGUUAAUUGAUGGGGUUAGACUUCGGUCGAAGCUCUUGAUCGAAGCCCCGGUAAACGGCGGCCGUAACUAUAACGGUCCUAAGGUAGCGAAAUUCCUUGUCGGGUAAGUUCCGACCUGCACGAAUGGCGUAAUGAUGGCCACGCUGUCUCCACCCGAGACUCAGUGAAAUUGAAAUCGCUGUGAAGAUGCAGUGUACCCGCGGCUAGACGGAAAGACCCCGUGAACCUUUACUACAGCUUGGCACUGAACAUUGAACCUACAUGUGUAGGAUAGGUGGGAGACUGGGCUAAACACGGUUGGACAUCGUGUGGUUAGUGCAAUGGCAUAAGCCCGCUUGACUGCGAGAAUGACAAUUCGAGCAGGUGCGAAAGCAGGUCAUAGUGAUCCGGUGGUUCUGAAUGGAAGGGCCAUCGCUCAACGGAUAAAAGGUACUCCGGGGAUAACAGGCUGAUACCGCCCAAGAGUUCAUAUCGACGGCGGUGUUUGGCACCUCGAUGUCGGCUCAUCACAUCCUGGGGCUGAAGUCGGUCCCAAGGGUAUGGCUGUUCGCCAUUUAAAGUGGUACGCGAGCUGGGUUUAGAACGUCGUGAGACAGUUCGGUCCCUAUCUGCCGUGGGCGUUGGAAAAUUGAAAGGGGCUGCUCCUAGUACGAGAGGACCGGAGUGGACGAACCUCUGGUGUUCGGGUUGUCAUGCCAAUGGCAUUGCCCGGUAGCUAAGUUCGGAAUCGAUAACCGCUGAAAGCAUCUAAGCGGGAAGCGAGCCUUGAGAUGAGUUUUCCCUG
rnacentral:rRNA from 1 species